GGGGGGGAGGCGGCGUUUUGGGGUGAAAAGCGUCAAAAUGGAGGUUUUGGUGAUAGUGGAGAAUGCGGGGGGGUGAAAAUAGCGAUUUUUGUUCAAUUCCUGGCAAUGGCGAUUUUUGGUGGGUCCCAAAACCACCGUUUUUUGCCCCAAAAUUGUUUACUGACACAAAGUCGUUUUUCCUCCGAAAAACGCCAUUUUGGGGCUCUAAAAUUGCACUUUUUUAAAUGAAAUGAGAAUUUUUGUGUACAGAUUGAGGCGAUUUGGGGACAAAGUGAGAAAGAAAACCCGAAUUUUGGUGCUAAAACGGUGAAAAAAAGCACUGCUAAAAAUCACCAUUUUCGGUCAGGACGGAUUGAGGGAUUACGGGUUGAAAAAGAGGAUUUUUGGGCAAAUUUCUGCCUCAAAACACACGUUUUUGGUUGGAAAAUUCUCUUUUUGAUGUUUUCCCCUUCAGCCUUUCUUUCGAUUCAAAACUUUGCAUUCUCUUCACAGAAAUUAUGAUUUUUGCAGGUUUUCUUUUCCCAAAAAUGGAUUUUCUGACACAAAAUCGUUUUUCCUUGGAAAAACGCCAUUUUGGGGCUCUAAAAUUGCACUUUUUUAAAUGAAAUGAGAAUUUUUGUGUACAGAUUGAGGCGAUUUGGGGACAAAGUGAGAAAGAAAACCCGAAUUUUGGUGCUAAAACGGUGAAAAAAAGCACUGCUAAAAAUCACCAUUUUCGGUCAGGACGGAUUGAGGGAUUACGGGUUGAAAAAGAGGAUUUUUGGGCAAAUUUCUGCCUCAAAACACACGUUUUUGGUUGGAAAAUUCUCUUUUUGAUGUUUUCCCCUUCAGCCUUUCUUUCGAUUCAAAACUUUGCAUUCUCUUCACAGAAAUUAUGAUUUUUGCAGGUUUUCUUUGCCCAAAAAUGGAUUUUCUGACACAAAAUUGUUUUUCCUUGGAAAAACGCCAUUUUGGGGCCAUAAAAUUGCACUUUUUUAAAUGAAAUGAGAAUUUUCGUGUACAGAUUGGGACGAUUUGGGUCCAAAGUAAGAAAGAAAGCCCAAAUUUUGGUGCUAAAACAAUGAAAAAAACCACUGCUAAAAAUCACCAUUUUCAGUCGGAAUGGAUCGAGGGAUUCGGGGCAAAAAAGGGGGAUUCUGGGCAAAUUUCUCCCUCAAAAUACACAUUUUUUGGUCAUAAAAUUCUCUUUUUGAUAUUUUCCCCUUCAGUGCUUCUUUUGAUUUAGAGGCGUCCAUUCUGUUCACAGAAACUGCAAUUUUUGAAGGUUUUCUUUGCCCAAAAAUGGAUUUUCUCACACAAAAUCACUUUUCCUCCAAAAAAUGCCAUCUUGGGGCCAUAAAAUGGCAUUAUUAGUUACAAAACAAUAUUUUUGUGUUCAGGUUGAGAUCCAGGAGAUGAUUUUGGGUCCAAAGUCAGAAAUAAACCCCAGAUUUUGGUGCUAAAACAGAGAAUAUGACCACUGCUAAAAACCACCAUUUUCAGUCAGAACGGAUUGAGGGAUUCGGGGUUGAAAAAGGGGAUUUUGGGCCAAUUUCUGCCUCAAAACAUGAAUUUUUGGUCAUAAAAUGCUAUUUUCGUGGUUUUCCCCUUCAGUGCUUCUUUCGAUUUAGAGUCUUGCAUUCUGUUCACAAAAACUGCAGUUUCUGAAGGUUUACUUUGCCCAAAAAUGGAUUUUCUGACACAAAAUCGUUUUUCCUCGGAAAAACGCCAUUUUGGGGCCCUAAAAUUGCACUUUUUUAAAUGAAAUGAGAAUUUUUGUGAACAGAUUGAGGCGAUUUGGGGACAAAAUGAGAAAGAAAACCCGAAUUUUGGUGCUAAAACACUGAAAAAAAACACUGCUAAAAAUCACCAUUUUCGGUCCGAACGGAUCGAGGGAUUUGGGGGCACAAAAUGAGGUGAAAAAAGCCAAAUUUGGGUCUGAAUUCAGACCGUGUCACAGCGGUGAAGUUUUGCAGCUGUGCCAUACGUUCGAAUGGGGCGGAUUUGCCCAAAAUUUGCAUUUUUGGGGGCAAAAAAAAGAGCUGUGGUUUCGGCCAUGGGUUGAACCGAAACCCCGAAAUAGCCCCAAAACCGCCUUUUCUCCACCCAAAAUCGGGGCUUUCCGACCCAAAGCUGCACUUUUCUCGCCCACAAUCGCAACCCCACCCCAAACUGUUGGUUUUUCACCCAAACUUUCGGGUCCCACACCCAAAACGUGGUGUUUUUCACCCAAAAUCGGUGUCUCUGCCCGAAAUCAAGCCGGUUUUCCCACUCCAAAUUGAAUGUUUUUUACCCAAAACGGAGUGGUUUUGGCCCAAAAAGGAGCGCUUUUCACCCAGAAUUGAGUGCUUUGGCCCCCAAAUUGUCCAAAAUUUGAUGGUUUUCACCCCAAAUUUUAUAACCCUGACCCAAAAUUGAGAAUAUUUCACCCCGAGUGGAGCGUUUUUACCGAAAUUGUAGUUUUUUCACCCAAAAUUGUGGUUUCUUUUAGCCCAAAAUUGAGUGUUUUGACCCAAAACUGAGCUUUGCUCACUAAAAACUGAGAUUUCCGGACCCAUAGGGACCCACAGAAACCCCAUAGAGACCCAUAGAGACCCAUAGGGACCCAUAGAGACCCAUAGGGACCCAUAGAGACACAUAGGGACCCCAUAGGGACCCAUAGAGACCCACAGGGACCUAUAUUGACCCAUAGAGACCCCAUAGGGACCCACAGAGACCCAUAGAGCCCCAUAGGGACCCCAUAGAGACCCCAUAGGGACCCCAUUGAGCCCCAUAGGGACCCAUAGAAACCCCAUAGAGACCCAUAGAGACCUAUAGGGACCCAUAGAGCCCAUAUGGACCCAUAGAGACCCAUAGGGACCCCAUAGGGACACAUAGAGACCCAUAGAGACUCCAUAGGGACCCAUAGGAACCCACAGAAACCCCUUAGGGACCCAUAGGGACCCAUAGAGACCCAUAGAGAACUAUAGGGACCCAUAGAGCCCCAUAGGGACCCAUAGGGAUCCAUAGAGCCCCAUAGAGAACCCAUAGAGACACCACUGAGACCCAUAGGGACCCCAUAGAGACCCACAGAGACCCAUAGGGACCCACAGAGACCCAUAGGGACCUAUAUUGACCCAUAGAGACCCAUAGAGACACAUAGGGACCCACAGAGACUCCAUAGAGCCCCAUAGAGACCCAUAGGGACCCAUAGAGACCCAUUGAGACCCAUAGAGACACAUAGAGACCCAUAGGGACCCCACAGAGACCCACAAGGACCCAUAGAGCCCCAUAGAGCCCCAUAGGGACCCAUAGAGCCCCAUAGGGACACAUAGAGACCCAUAGAGACCCCAUAGAGACCCCAUAGAGCCCCCUAGGGACCCAUAGAGACCCCCUAGGGACCCCAUAGGAACCCAUAGAAACCCCAUAGGAACCCACAGAAACCCCAUAGAUUGACCCAUAGAGCCCGAUAAGGACCCAUAGAGACCCAUAGAGAACCCAUAGAGACCCCAUAGAGACCCAUAGGGACCCAUAUUGACCCAUAGAGGCCCACACAGACCCAUAGAUCCCCAUAGAGCCCCAUAGAGACCCAUAGAGAACCCAUAGAGACCCCAUAGAGACCCAUAGAGACCCAUAGGGACCCCAUAGAGACCCCAUAGAGACCCACACAGACCCCAUAGAGACCCCAUAGAGACCCAUAGGGACCCCAUAGGGACCCAUAGAGACCC
ensembl:lncRNA